rnacentral:piRNA from 1 species
CAUUCAAGGUGCAUCAGACUA